UCAGAGCACGGGUUUCCUAAUCCCACCCAUAGUCUAGUCGGGUCCUUCCACUCCACCCACGGCCAUCUCAACCUACCAUGAGGGAUUUUGUAGUAGAACCAUUCAUCUUGAAGUUCAUGAGGAAUGUAAAUAUAUACUUUUCCAAAAGCGAGACCAGAUGAACAAUCCACAUCAAGUUUGAUACAAUGUACUUCUCAUACAGCAAAAUCAAGGCACAGGAGCAAUGCGAGACAAAUAACCUAUGUAGUUCCACGGAAGCAUAUUUUUGGAUAGAUCCACCUGAUCUUCUUGAUCGUCUUGACAUUCAACCUUUCAUAGGGCCAUGAGCAAAAGGAAGAAAGCAGAGAGAUUUAGUUAGUGGCAAUAGGAGGAUAAAGAAGUAAACUGUACUAUUGGUAGCUACUACAAUGUCCAGAUCGAAUAAUCUAACGAUCAUAUCCACUUGUACAUAUUUGGGCCCUCUGUUCAAUAUGUACCAUAUAAAUUAGGUGUCGCCCAACCUGGGCGAUUGGGGGGAACCCAGCCGCCGGUGGCUCACCACCCCUCCUCGUGCCUGCCCCCGCGUCACCGUUGCCGGAUACUGAUUUAUAUGGUUCUUCUAUGGCAUAAAGUGAUGCAAUUUAUUGCCAAAGUAGGAAUGGUUCAUAGCAGAACCAUAUAAAUUAGGCGGCAAAUGAGUAAGAAGAUUAGCCCUCUGUUCUAGCCAAAUUAAGGGGCUGGCUAAGGCAUGGUGCUGCACAAUCUUCAUACCAAUUUUCCCUGCUACAAUGUAAUGAAGCUUUGAAACUACAUAUACCAAGAUAUUCAUCAACCCAUUCAGAACAUAUACCAAUGUAACGAAGAGGGAGCAGUUAAUUUUGAUACAGAACAUGCACUUGUGAAUUGGCAGGUAAUAUGAAGGUGUUGUAUUGGAAUUUUACCUUCGCUUUCAGUGACACAUAUCAGAUAAUCUUCCCUCGACCCUUUCAUGAUGUGGUUGCUGCCGGUGCUCUAGGAAGAACACAGUUUUCUUAAUACUAAUUUUGAAAUAAGAAAACCUUAUCAUUGUGGAAUAUAAACAGAAGAAAAAGCAAAUAUAUGCAAAUUGUUAAGUUUGAGUGAAAUUUUAGAAACUGAAAUGGCAUGUGAAAUAUAUUUUUAUCUACAUUCUUCAUAUAAGCAUCGUAAAGAGAAAUGUAACCAUAAACUUGCCCUAUUGGAUAUAUCCUAUAUAUUUUCUAAAAUAAACUAUGUAUCAAACAGAAGUCAGAACAAAGGGAAUAUGCAUCAAAUAUGAUUUCACCUACAUUCCUCAUGUACACUUCACAAAAAAAUAGUGUUGGCUUGCUUUUCAUAAAAAUAGCAGUGGGGUCUUAUCCUACUUGUACAGCUAAAAAAUAUAUACGAAUUCACCCCACUCAAAGAAGUACACCUUUUUUUAGGAAUCAAGUGUAAAUCAGCCAAACCUGUAGGUAAAACAGAAUUGGAGAUUACAUAGCAGAAAGAGUUCCAUGAUAAACAUUAGGACAUGGAUGAAAAUUAGACACUGUUACACAACUACUACUAUAAUUGACCAAAAUAGAGAAUAGCCUAAGAUCCACUUGUCCAGCUCUAUGAGAAACACAGAAAUGAGAACCUGGAAAGUGAAGUUGUCACCUGCUGCGCCAUCUUCAGAUGGACCAUCCACUUGUGCAUCAUCAUCAUCUCUUAUUUCUCGAUACUUUGCUCCUUUCUAUAAAACUAUGAUAUGUCAUUAGUGUACUCUUGAAAAAAUACAAUCACAAUUGUGAAGCCCUCUUUCUCAUGUCGUUAUGCCCCGUGAGUACAAAUGCUCGAUCUAUUCUCAAAAAAUGACUUGACACUAGGUUCAAAAAGAAAAAAAGA
rnacentral:lncRNA from 1 species